rnacentral:rRNA from 1 species
GCCACGGCCCGCCUCAGAAACUACAAAGGAAGUUGACGGGGCCCGGCACAAGCGGAGGAGCAUGUGGUUUUAAUUCGAUGAUACGCGAGGAACCUUACCUGGGCUCGAACGUAAGAUGACUGUAGGUGAAAGCUUACAUCUCUUCGGAGCAUUUUACGAGGUGCUGCAUGGUUGUCGUCAGCUCGUGCCGUGAGGUGUCGGGUUAAGUCCCAUAACGAGCGCAACCCCUACCUUUAGUUGCCAUCAGGUUAAGCUGGGGACUCUAAAGGAACUGCCUACGCAAGUAGUGAGGAAGGCGGGGAUGACGUCAAAUCAGCACGGCCCUUACGUCCAGGGCUACACACGUGUUACAAUGGCCAGUACAGAGGGCAGCCACCCCGCGAGGGGGCGCUAAUCCUAAAAGCUGGUCCCAGUUCGGAUCGGAGUCUGCAACCCGACUCCGUGAAGCUGGAUUCGCUAGUAAUCGCGCAUCAGCCACGGCGCGGUGAAUACGUUCCCGGGCCUU